rnacentral:lncRNA from 1 species
AGGCGCUGUACCCGGGAGCCAGGUGUCUGUCUGCAUGUGCCAAAGCAGGCAGGCCUGCUCUAUGCUCAUGAUCUCUGAGCAUAUGAGUGGGUACCUGUGGACAUCCUCAAUAUCAGAACCAGCAGCCUUUGGAGCUGAAAAGCAGAAAAGGGAUGGCAUCUGGCCAGGGAUGAGCUCCAAACAUCCUCCACUGCUGCUAAAAGCUCGACCUUGGCCAAUUGCUUCCCUGGCUGCCUUUGAUGGGCAGCUCCAGCCAUCUCCUGGGCAGCUUGAGUUCCUGUCCCUCUCUGAAACUCUGGGUCCUUCUAGCAAGUGGAAGUGGGACUGACUUCUCCAGAGCCUAAGGUCUUGGAGGAAAGUAAUGUUUUCUACAGACCCGGGUGCUGAAGUAACGACAGCCCUCCGUCUUCCUUCCUGCUUCUCUAACGAUCCCUAUAACAUCAGAGUGCUGGGAGCACAGAGCCACCAGCUUUGCUCUGGAUCUCUUUACACCUUGGGUCACCCAAGCCCCACACGCCUAUGGAAGAGGAUCAGCCUUCUGAUGAAACCUGGAGCAUUUCUGCAGCACAGUUCGGAGCAGAGGAGAACCAAACUUCCUUUUCCAAGCUGUAGAAUUCCUGAAGCCAGAAUUGAAGGGGAAUUCUAAAUAUGGUCCCAAGGGUUUGGGCCUUGUACUGACCUUCUUAGGUAAUGCCCCUGGACAGACCAUCCUGUCCUUGCCCCAGUCCACCCUGGAACACAAUGCCAGAGGCUUUCUUACUCUGGGGGAAAUGGCGCAAGCAAUUCUGUUGUGUUCAGGGCAAAGAUGUUUAAAUGACAAUGCCCAGGGGAAUGUCUCUCAGACACAUAGUUACCAUGGCACACAGGUGUUCCAGAGGACCCAGAUUUGUUUCCUGUAAGCACUCUUGUAAGGCAGCACUCAACCACCAACUACCUGCAAUUACAGUUCCAAGGAAUCCUGUGCU